rnacentral:rRNA from 1 species
CAUUACUGAGUUCAUGCCCUCACGGGUAGAUCUCCACCCUUGAAUACAUAAACCUUUGUUGCUUUGGCGGGCCGCUUCGGCUUCCGGCUUAGGCUGGUGAGUGCCCGCCAGAGAAAUCAAAACUCUGAAUUAUAGUGUCGUCUGAGUACUAUACAAUAGUUAAAACUUUCAACAACGGAUCUCUUGGUUCUGGCAUCGAUGAAGAACGCAGCGAAAUGCGAUAAGUAAUGUGAAUUGCAGAAUUCAGUGAAUCAUCGAAUCUUUGAACGCACAUUGCGCCCCUUGGUAUUCCGGGGGGCAUGCCUGUUCGAGCGUCAUUAUAACCCUCAAGCCUAGCUUGGUGUUGGAGCAUGCUAUCUCUAGCAGCUCUUAAAAUCAGUGGCAGUGCUCUUCGGCUCUAAGCGUAGUAACUUUUCUCGCUAUAGAGUCUGGAGGGCCCGCGCCAAAACCCCCAACUUUCUAUGGUUGACCUCGGAUCAGGUAGGGAUACCCGCUGAACUUAAGCAUAUCAAUAAGCGGAGGAAAAGAAACCAACAGGGAUUGCCUCAGUAACGGCGAGUGAAGCGGCAAAAGCUCAAAUUUGAAAUCUGGCUCUUUUAGGGUCCGAGUUGUAAUUUGUAGAAGAUGCUUUGGGUGUGGUUCCGGUCUAAGUUCCUUGGAACAGGACGUCAUAGAGGGUGAGAAUCCCGUAUGUGAUCGGUUGCCUUCGCCCGUGUAAAGCUCUUUCGACGAGUCGAGUUGUUUGGGAAUGCAGCUCAAAA